CAGCUCAUAGCGUAUAUUAAAGUUGUUGCAGUUAAAAAGCUCGUAGUUGAAUUUCGGGAUCAAUACGUCGGUCGUGCCUUCGGUACGCACUGGSGUCGUUGAUUUCUCCCUUCUGAUGAACCAUGAUGUCAUUAAUUUGGUGUUGUGGGGAGUCAGGACUGUUACUUUGAAAAAAUUAGAGUGUUUAAAGCAGGCAAACGCUUGAAUACAUUAGCAUGGAAUAAUGAAAUAGGACGUUCGAACCUAUUUUGUUGGUUUCUAGGUACAACGUAAUGAUUAAUAGGGAUAGUUGGGGGCAUUAGUAUUCAAUUGUCAGAGGUGAAAUUCUUGGAUUUAUUGAAGACUAACUACUGCGAAAGCAUUUGCCAAGGAUGUUUUCAUUAAUCAAGAACGAAAGUUAGGGGAUCGAAGACGAUCAGAUACCGUCGUAGUCUUAACCAUAAACUAUGCCGACUAGGGAUCGGAUGAAGUUAAUUUUUUAAUGACUCAUUCGGCG
rnacentral:rRNA from 1 species